rnacentral:lncRNA from 1 species
CUAGAUUAUAGAAAAGUAGAUGUUAGCGGUAUUCUCUCUAUGUAAACCUAACAUGUGGACCAUCUUUGGUUAUUUUCAGCAGACACCCUACACAAAUAGACAUUCACCAAAACUUAUGGAAUUCUGUCAGUGAUAACCCUAUAUCUACUAUAUGUUUUGCAUAUAGAUCCAUUUUCAUGUCUAGUUGGCAGUUAAAAUUAGGAGUUACUACUGUCAACAACUCCCCCAAGCUUACCCUUUGCUUGUCCCUGAGCAAAGAUAAACUCAGUGAUUGAUCAGGAGUUGCUACAAUGCUUUCAUGCCUCAAAAGUACACAUGUGUUCAAACAAAAACUCUCCUCUAGAUUAGAGUGGACUAUUCUGACUCAAAACUAACUCAUAUUACCUUCCACCAUGGGGCUUGUAACUAUCACUUGGGUCUUGAGCAGUUGAAAGAUAGAACAGUCAAGUCGAGCACUAUAUUUCUUGCUCUUUUGUAAACUAUUACUCCAGAGUUUUUGCAAGAUUUUCAAAUAAAACUUAGAGUUUCCUUGUAUGACCCUUUCAAGUCUCUCAUUUGUGGUAUUUCUAGAUCCUUACCAAGGCGUGAAUGGUAUAUGCCUUCUCUCUACUCUUCAAAUAUGUGGUAUUUGUGGAAUUAAGGAAUAGUGGCAUUAUGCCUUCUCUCUCUCACCCUAUAUCUAAUAGGCUUAUUUGGAUCUCAUAGGUGGGGAGACAGCUCAAACAUACUUGCAAACAUAUGUUGUAUAGUUGAACCAUGGAUCCAAAAAAACUAAUCAUACGAUCAAAUCAUAUGUGCAUGUGGAUAAGAGGAGUGAAGUAAGUGAUAUAAACGAUGAUGAUGAUGGUGGAGAUCUAAUUCUAUAUUUGCUCCUUGGAGAUAACAUACCUCCUUUAUUUUGAAACUGUAGACCUUGGAGGAACUUGGCUUGCUCUAUUACUUUUCUUUCUUGGGACAUUUGUCCUCUUUCUUUCUUUCUUUCUUUCUUUCUUUUCUUUCUCUCUUUUUUUCUGAGAGCAACCAAGCCUCUUACUAGAAAUAUAUUAAUAGGGAGUGAUAACUGGAGUAACUGGAGCUUUAUUGGAUAGCGGAAAAAGAUAGGAUGAGGACAUAUAUUUUUGUUGUUCACUCCCAGUGUAGGAGUAGAACAUUUUCUAAGUGAAUGAAGGGAAUAGAGGAAUAUGUACACCUAGUAUGGGAGCAGCAUAGGUGCGUGGAGUGUGUAUAUAUGUGGGUGAUACCUCCAGGAACAGAAGUAGCACAGAGUAAAUGGGGGCGUACUUCUGAGGACAGAAGCAGCAUAGACAAUGGAGAGCACAUAAUGUUGACUUUAACUGCAUGACUAAUUCCUAAGGGUCAACAUAGCUUAACUACACGCAAUUCCUACAAGCAGUAUAUUUAAGGUGGAUGGCUUUCCUAAUCUAGUAAGCAUGUAUAUUUGGCUAUGGUAGGAAUUUUGAACUCUCAUCAUACAGGAACUCAUCAUGCAACAAUUUAAGAUUUUCAAAGAUAAAUUCUCCAGAACUCUAGUAUCUCUAGGAAAAAGAUGGACAGCAGCUCAAAACCUUCUCAUAUCAUAUCCGUCAACUACCUAGACUUAGAUCAAGCAUGCUACCCACAAGUUUCAGGUUCAGAGCAAACCUCAAAUAAAAACAGUUGUAUUCAAAACUCGGGAGAGUUAAAGGUUGAAAACUAGGUACUUGAAAGGAAUUACAGUAGAGCAACUAUUCAUCAUUUCCAUAAGAUAUUAUUCUAUAGGGUUUAUUUUAGCAAGCAAUUUCUUCAAAUACUCUCCUAAAUUUUAUUUUGCAAAUUUAAUAUCAAAUAGAAAGAUAGAUAUAACUAAAAAUAGGUAGGGAAAUCUUUAUUUGGGUUUUCUUUGGUUAUGCAUCUUUUUAUUUGUUUUUGAUUAACAUAGCACACUUAAUAAAUAAAUAGAUAAGUGAGGGAUACUUAGCUAGUUAUACGGGGGUGCUCUCCCCCAAGCUGGAUAUUGACGUAGUGUGUUGGUGUUGCUGACUGGCAGUGCAGGCUUACUGGUCCUCCUUGAGUGUUACGGAUGGUUGCUGUUGAGACAGCAAUCUCACUAUUGAAGACAUCACUCCGACAGGGGACUUGACAUCCUUCUACUUGUCAGCUCUUCUUGAUCCUUCAAAUUCUAUGAAGCUCAAAUAGACAACAAAGCUUCUGGAACUGAUUAAGUGUUAGUGGUAAAACCCCUAAGCCUUUGGUUGCCUAGAACCUUCUUAAUAUAUUUAUCAUUUAGCAGGAUCAUAAGAUACAUUUAUAUAUAUAUUUUAUGGUAUGCAAAAAUUGCAGUAAGAUGAAAACUUAUUUUUAUGCCACCGCUAUGAAUAUCUUUGUGGGCUGCCGUACCACAAAAUUAUCCACAUGGGGCUUAGCAUUUUCUAGAUGCAGUGAUAAAAAGGGAAAUAUUGAUAACUACCAUGUUACUUCUAGGCACGGUGUUUGGUGUUUUAGGUCCUCCGAACAAGACCUCUUACCAUGUUAAUUCCUUAGGUGCUUUAUCUGGUCCCA